GCACAGGACUUUAUGAGCUCAGUCAGUAGAGCGUGAGACUCUCAGUCACAAGGUUGGGGGUUCGAGUCCCCUGCUGGGCA